rnacentral:rRNA from 1 species
UGCCCGAAGGGUGACGAAGCGACGCCGCGUGGGUGAGGAAGGCCUUCGGGUUGUAAAGCCCUGUCAGGAGUUAAGAAAUGUAGACUCGCUAAUAUCGGGUCUAUUUGACAAAGGCUCCAAAGGAAGCCACGGCUAACUCUGUGCCAGCAGCCGCGGUAAUACAGAGGUGGCAAGCGUUGUUCGGAAUUAUUGGGCGUAAAGAGCACGUAGGUGGAUUUGUAAGUCAGACGUGAAAGCCUUCUGUUCAACGGAAGAAUUGCAUCUGAAACUACAAACCUUGAGUGUAGGAGGGGAGAAUGGAACUUCUGGUGGAGCGGUGAAGUGCGUAGAUAUCAGAAGGAACGCCGGCGGCGAAAGCGAUUCUCUGGCCUAUUACUGACACUCAGUGUGCGAAAGCUAGGGGAGCAAACGGGAUUAGAUACCCCGGUAGUCCUGGCCGUAAACGAUGGGCACUAAGUAGAGGGGU